CCAAAUGAUGGUUGAACCUCAAGAGCUGCUGAUUCAGUUUGAUCAAAUAAUGAAGAGAACAAUGAAGAACAUGUGAGCGUUUAUGAGUUUGUGGAAGAGGAGCCUCCUGGUGUUUCACUCCAUGCUGUUGUUAAAAAUCCUUCUCAAACAACUGAGCAGAUUCCUCUGCAGCUUCCUAAAGAUGGCAUUUCUUUUAGGAUUGUACUACUCGGAGAAAA